CCUACGGGGGGCUGCAGUAGGGAAUCUUCCGCAAUGGGCGAAAGCCUGACGGAGCAACGCCGCGUGAGUGAUGAAGGUCUUCGGAUCGUAAAACUCUGUUAUUAGGGAAGCACAUAUGUGUAAGUAACUGUGCACAUCUUGACGGUACCUAAUCAGAAAGCCACGGCUAACUACGUGCCAGCAGCCGCGGUAAUACGUAGGUGGCAAGCGUUAUCCGGAAUUAUUGGGCGUAAAGCGCGCGUAGGCGGUGUUUUAAGUCUGAUGUGAAAGCCCACGGCUCAACCGUGGAGGGUCAUUGGAAACUGGAAAACUUGAGUGCAGAAGAGUAAAGUGGAAUUCCAUGUGUAGCGGUGAAAUGCGCAGAGAUAUGGAGGAACACCAGUGGCGAAGGCGACUUUCUGGUCUGUAACGGACGCUGAUGUGCGAAAGCGUGGGGAUCAAACAGGAUUAGAUACCCUUGUAGUC
rnacentral:rRNA from 1 species